GAUGAACGCUGGCGGCGUGCCUAAUACAUGCAAGUCGAGCGAACAGACGAGGAGCUUGCUCCUCUGACGUUAGCGGCGGACGGGUGAGUAACACGUGGAUAACCUACCUAUAAGACUGGGAUAACUUCGGGAAACCGGAGCUAAUACCGGAUAAUAUAUUGAACCGCAUGGUUCAAUAGUGAAAGACGGUUUUGCUGUCACUUAUAGAUGGAUCCGCGCCGCAUUAGCUAGUUGGUAAGGUAACGGCUUACCAAGGCGACGAUGCGUAGCCGACCUGAGAGGGUGAUCGGCCACACUGGAACUGAGACACGGUCCAGACUCCUACGGGAGGCAGCAGUAGGGAAUCUUCCGCAAUGGGCGAAAGCUUGACGGAGCAACGCCGCGUGAGUGAUGAAGGUCUUCGGAUCGUAAACCUCUGUUAUUAGGGAAGAACAAAUGUGUAAGUAACUAUGCACGUCUUGACGGUACCUAAUCAGAAAGCCACGGCUAACUACGUG
rnacentral:rRNA from 1 species